AGCACUUGUGUCUGUUGUUGUCUAACUGUGGACUAAGACUUAUGGACAGGUGCAAAAAAUAAAUCCUCUUUUGCAACCCAGAAGUCAUUGUUCAGCAUGAGUUCUGAUACGUACAGGGAGGAAUAUU
ensembl:snoRNA